rnacentral:rRNA from 1 species
AGCAGCCGCGGUAAUUCCAGCUCCAAUAGCGUAUAUUAAAGUUGUUGCAGUUAAAAAGCUCGUAGUUGAAUUUCGGGGUCAGUAGGCUGGUCGUGCCACAGGUACGCACUGGUCUCACUGAUUCCUCCUUCCUGAUGAACCGUAAUGCCAUUAAUUUGGUGUUGCGGGGAGACUGGACUGUUACUCUGAAAAAAUUAGAGUGUUAAAGCAGGCUAACGCUUGAAUACAUUAGCAUGGAAUAAUGAAAUAGGACGUUCGAUCCUAUUUUGUUGGUUUCUAGGAUUUGACGUAAUGAUUAAUAGGGGAUAGUUGGGGGGCAUUAGUAUUCAAUUGUCAGAGGUGAAAUUCUUGGAUUUAUUGAAGACUAACUACUGCGAAAAGCAUUUGCCAAGGAUGUUUUCAUUAAUCAAGAACGAAGUUAGGGGAUCGAAGACGAUCAGAUACCGUCGUAGUCUUAACCAUAAAACUAUGCCGACUAGGGAUCGGAUGAUGUUAAUUUUUUUAAUGACUCAUUCGGCGC